UACGUAGGGGGCAAGCGUUGUCCGGAUUUAUUGGGCGUAAAGAGCGUGUAGGCGGCCAGAUAGGUCAGAUGUGAAAACUCGAGGCUCAACCUCGAGACGUCGGUUGAAACCGUCUGGCUAGAGUCCGGAAGAGGAGAGUGGAAUUCCCAGUGUAGCGGUGAAAUGCGCAGAUAUCGGGAAGAACACCCGUGGCGAAGGCGGCUCUCUGGGCAGUAACUGACGCUGAGGAGCGAAAGCGUGGGGAGCGAACAGG
rnacentral:rRNA from 1 species